AUGAUAUACCCUACCGAGAGUUCAUUGCUCUUGAGGUGCAACGGAGAACGACGAGGAUUCGCGCGAGAACGUCGGAAAGAGAGGGAGAAACGGAGAGGGAGACGCGAACUGGCAUUGGCACGAUGGAGAGAGACAAAAACGGAGACGCACAGCACGGAAGACGAAAGGGAACGAGCGAAAGAGACUAACCGAUGGUACGAACAAGACACUGUCAAGGAGCUCUGAAAAGUCGAAGGAAGGGCGGAGAAAGACGGAUCGAGAGCGCACCGUUCCGAGUCAAGACCACACCACUCUCGAUGUUUUCGUUUUCUCUGGUCGCACGCACAUGUUCGAAGGAAAUGGCAAGGCCGGUAGGAAGCGAUUGGGUUAAACGCUCUUCUAACGAAUGUCCGUCGGCGAGUAUCGGUUUCGUGCUAACGUAACAACACGUUACGCUUUAUAUCCGUACGUGGUCAAACUGCGUGCUGCUCGCGAGACAUCGGCUACGAUCGUAACCUCGAAAACUGGAUUAUAUCAAAGGAUAAACGACGAGUAUACGGGCGUGUAAAAAAUCCGGAAACGUAUCGAAAAGGUGAACGCCAUACGAAGACAAGAAACGAGUAUCUGGUUGCAUGAAUAUUAAUAAAGCACGUUAACUCGACACACGACUCUGUCGUGCUUAUAUUACACUCGGAAGUAGCCGGCAAUUAUUCAAAACCAAUGACCACGUUGAAGAGAUCCUUCUGAGUAGCCGGCCAUUUGUAUGAGAGUUCGACGUUUUAAACGAUCAAGCGCGUGAAAUAAAAAAUGCAAUCUUUUUCAGAUACCUAACAGCUUUUAAACUUUAUCUUCCAAGAGAUGUUUUAGACGCUAGAACGUUUUUCAAGAAUAAUCAUUUGUCUAAAAUGUUCUGUAAUUAUGUAAGCUUGGAACUGUUACAUUAUU